rnacentral:lncRNA from 1 species
GGAGGAAGUUCGCGGUGAGGGAAAGAAAGGUGAACUCUGGAAAGGCUGCAAGUGACUGCAGUGAAGGCACGAAGUGUCCUCCAAGCCCAUCCCUGAGACUUGGGUAUUAACGUUUCUUGUCACUUCCCAGCCUUUUCUAGGGAUAUGGGUAAAAUGUAAGGGGGCGCGCCCCUAAACCCACCCCAGGCUACCCGGAAUCUUGAGAUGGGACGCUUCUGUUAAACUGGUUUGGGAGGGCCGGUUUUGCCAGUAAUCCCCACACCCCAACAAAAGAAAAACCGAAACCGACACGUCUAAAAAAAGAAGAAAAAAAGAUCAGUUCUAAGUAGAACAGAAAAAACUGUUGUUCUAAAUUGGUUUUGCUCAAAUUUUACUAAGCUAAAACUGGUCCUGAUUCUUAGGAGUUUUUCCCAGCACCAAGUGCGGUGUAUGAUAUUAGCAUAUGAUUAGGCUUGGUACCAUAAUUUAAAACAAUGCAACAACCUAUUUCUGAGACAAUACUUUAUAUAAUGGUGUGUCCUACUUUGUCAAUCAUCUUUUAUUUGGUUAUAGAUAAAAUAUAUCCAUUUCAGUAAUGAUCAUGUCAAUCUUUUAUAAUUUAAGUAAUCUCAUUGAUGAUUUAAAGAGAACCAAAGAACACCACAUUAGAAUAUCGCACAAAAAUGGCACUCUUCCAACAUAUUAUUCUCCUGCUUAGUAGGUUGUUGCAAUGCCUAAGAAAUGUCUGGUAAAUUUGAAAAUGAUUUUUUUUAAAAUGGACCAGAAAGAUCAUUUGAUUAAUGUUACAGGACAAAAGAGCAUCUUUACAACUCGAUUUGACACAGGUAUACUCCUAAAAGCACAGAAAAAGUAUGCUGUUGAAAAAUAUUUCUUAAUAUUGCUUUAUGAUUCUCUAUACAAAUUAAAGAUCUCAGAGUUAAUUGUAGGGAUAUUGGUUGUUCAACAAAUAGGCACAAAUUGAAAAAUGUGAUUGGGAACACUGAAAAUUUGCAAUAAUGAUUAAAAAAAAAACCCAAGCUUUUUUCAAUGCCUUGUUUUUUCCAUUUGUUAAAAGUUGAUUUCUAGCUUAUAACAGAAUUAUUAUUACCUAGUCACAAAAUGCACUCUCAGUCUUUCCACAUCAAAGUGAAACAAAUUGUUAGAAGAGUUUGGGGAAGAGUAUUUAAGAGUUAAUGAACCUGUAGUUCAAUAAUGAUAUCUGGCAUGAAAGUGAAAUUCUAAUGGCAUUGGACCUUUUAAUAGGUUUCUGGCUUGUAUACAUGUAUGUGAGCCAAUUCAAUCUUCUUUUAAAACCAAUUUUAAUUACUCGGGAAAUAUGAAAGAAGCCAAAUUAUUAACACUGUUUAGUUCUUAAAAUUAAAGCACCAUCCUAUAAUAUCAGUAACAUUGCAGUAGUGUUAGUGUAGUAUAACACUAAUUGUAUCAGCAAAACAUCAUCUGCUCGGAUUACGUAUGGUGAAAAUGAUAAACAAAAAUAUGUGAUUGACAGAUCACAAAUAGUUAGGUAUAGAAAACAUUCACUCAAAUGGUGCUUCUUUCCAUCUGACAAAAUAUCUGAGGAAAAAGAACUAUAAAUGUUAAGGCAUUUCAAAAAAGCUUUGAAUCAAUUAGAGUAGUUUUUAAAUAAAAGUAUUUUUCCAUUUGUAUAUAUUAAAAUUUUUGAACUAGUUUUUCCAGUUUGAUUUAUUUUCAUUUUCAAUUGGCAAUACUGCUUAUCUUUAACUUUUUCUCCUUAUUCCUCCUUCUUCAGUCUGC